UUUUGCUCUGUACAUGUGUCAGAGAAAAAUCUUCUUUUAAUUACUACACCAACUAGUGAGAUAUUCUAAGUGCACAGAAGACUCACCCGAGUUGAAAACAGUCACCGACGACGUUGACAACGAUUCUGAAACAAUGGCCGGAGCUUGAAAAUUUGUUCAAAAAUGGUUUUCGGAUCUUCUGAGUGCUUAGAAGACUCACUGGAGUUGGAAACGAUCACCGACGACGCCGACAGUGAUUCCGAAACAAUGGCCGGAGUUAUGCAACCUGCAAAUUUCUCUGAUAUUGGUGAUAUUCCCGAACUGCAUGGUGAGAACUAUAAGAUCUGGAAGGAGAAAAUUCUCCUUCACGUAGGGUACAUGGACAUUGAUUAUGCUAUCAGGAAAGACGAACCACCUAUUAAUGAAAUCAACACUCAAGCUGAGAUUGCUUGUCACACUCCUACCAGAAGUAUGACGGGCUCCGAUCCGUAGGCUGGGAACCACCUGACUUAUCCGUUAGUUUGAACAUUAUAAACCAUAACUCAAAGAACACCUGCACGCAGAAAAGGCCCAACAUAGGAAUAUCCGAUCAUUCAGCACAUAUGUACAUAUGCGGACCGACAAGAUCACCACAACAUAACGUACAUCAUAAAGCCGGCAAGGCUAACAGUAAAGUAUCAAGGACUCAAGAUAAGGCCGACAAGGCCACCAAUAUAUUAUGUAAUAAUAUGAACCGGUGGAGCUAUAAAACAUCUAACUGUACACAUACGUCUACGAGCCUCUAUAUAGAAUACGAAAUGAUCAUAAGGACAAUACCAAAUACACUGCAGCUCCGAAGUAAGUGGAGUGCUCCUGAGAAUUCGCUGAUAGAACACCUACGGGUCUGAUCCGUCUCCCUGCCUACCUGCGGGCAUGAGCGCAGCGUCCACAAGAAGGGACAUUAGUACGAAUAAUGUACUGAGUAUGCAAGGUAUGAAUAACAACAUAAUAUAGAUAUGAAAGGUAACAUGGAAUAAGAGAGAUAACCUGUACAUCUGGAUGCCUCAUAAGGCAGUGUUAUGCAUGCUUAGCCUUUUUAAACAAAAAAAUUUAUACAUAUAUAUAGUACCAUGCCUGACCAUUAAGGCUCGGUGUCAUAUAUAUAGUAUCACGCUCGACCAUUAAGGCUCGAUGUUAUCAUCAUUAGCUCGCGUCCGGGCCUCCCGCGUCCAGGGCAAUAUCAUAACAUGUCCACUGUAGUGGUGUGCACAUCUACGUGCCAUGCCCGGCCGACUAUAGUGCGGCGCGGUGUGAGAAAAUACAUACAUAUAUAUAAAGCAUGCAUGAAGUCAAAUAAAAGCUAUAAAUACAUCGGAGUGACGUAAGGUCAGUAACCUCCGAUUAUAUUAUGGAAUAAUCAUCAUCGCUCUAUCUCACCUUGAAGGAACACUUUUUAUAAGGCGAGAUCAACAACAAUGAAUAAAAAUCAAGAAAAUCACGAAAAUAACUCAACAUUCUCAUAUUCACAUUGAAAUCAUAAGCUUGAUACUUUUAAACAUGAAAUCAUCAUCAUCGUCAUAAUCCUCAUAGAAACAUUCUCAUCUUUAGCAUCGUCAUUCAUAUUGUAAAAACAUGUCCGUUGUUCUUGUCAUAAAAGCUUAUAGAAUCAUAAAUCUUUGACUCGGAAAAUAGGGACAUUUUGGAAAACACUUAUGGAUUAUCAAGAAAGAAGUCAUGCCUUUGAAUCAUGAACUCUAACCUUUGGAAGUAAGGAGGUUAUGAAACAUAUGUAAGGAAUUAUAACAUAGGAGUUUCUAGAAAUAGGAUCAUCGUCAUCAUAAAACAUAUUUAUCUUUAGCAUCAUAAGAACUCUAUGAAUCAUGAAUCUCUAGCUUUUGAGAAUAAGAAUAUUCUUGGAAAACAUUUAUGGAUUCACAUAGAGGGAUCAUGGGACAUUUGAAGCUUACCAUAUGAUUUUUAGAUGAAAUUGAAGGGGUUUUGGUCCUUUUAUAAGGUUCAAAUUCGGGACGGGUACUGUAGCAUUUUUACUGUAGUAGCACCGUAGCAGUACUGUAGCACGCGUUUCUGCUCUGUCAGCCUGACGUGUAGCAUUCAUAAUUCUCUACUUCGACAUCGUAUCGAUGGGCAGUUUGUUGUGUUGAAAACUAGACUCGACAAACUUCAUUUUAAGGCUUUUGAAACACUUUAAAACUCCUAAUAUACUAGGAGAUAUACCCCUCCAAAGUUGACUAAAAAUAUGCCCAAAAUCCUGCCAACUUUUUCCAAAUUUUUGUCAAACUUAUUUUCUUCGAUUUGCUUGAUCCCGAAAUCUUCCGAAACUCUCUAUACAUGAUAUUUAUCAUUUAUCAUACUUGAUAAUAGUCAUGUUCUUGUGUUUUAAAGAUGUCACGACCUAACCCCGUAGGCCGUGACUAGUGCCCGAGCUGGGCAUCGUAUACACUCACCUACCAGAAUUGGCAUACAAAUAACUAAUCAGAUUUAGCGUACAUAGAUUUAUACAGAUAUAAGGCAAAUCGCACGAAGACAUGUACAUACAUAAACAUAUACAUAAGUUGCUAAAUCUAUUAUAACGUACGGGGCGGCACACACGACAAAUCACACAGACAUACCUGACCGAUAAUGACCCAUGACCCACAUACAUGUCUACAGGCCUCUAACAGAGAUAAUAGAAUCAGAUGACGGGACAGGGCCCCGCCGUACCCCUAAACAGUCAUAAAUACAUAAAUAUGUACAAAAAAAAAGGUCUGUACCCAAAAAUGCAGGCUCCAGGACAAAGGAGCACUCCAAGCAGCAGAGCGGGUAUCCUAAGCUGGCGGCGUGUCAAAAGGAGCGUCUGUACCUGCGGGCAUGUAACGUAGCCCCCGAAGAACAGGGGGUCAGUACGGAAUAUGUACUGAGUAUGUAAAGCAGGGAAUAUAGCAAAUAAACCCAUAAUCGGAACCGGAAGUGCAGAAGCAUAACAGACAGGACCAUAAUCAGAGUCGGAAGUACUGGGAAUACUUACCUCGUUCAAAACAUAAAAAAAAUACUUACUCUUAUAUCGCUAAUCAUGCAUACAGGAUCAUAUGCAGAAAUAGAUAACAGAUAACAGAUCCCGACCCUCCAGCGAGGAACGCAGUAACAGAUCCCGGCCCUCCAGCGAGGAACGCAGUAACAGAUCCCGGCCCUCCAGCGAGGAACGCAGUAACAGAUCCCGACCCUCUUAGUACGGGACGCGGUGGACAGACAGAUCAUAUGCCAUCCUGGCCGCCAUCCCCAUACCAUCAUAUCAUAUACAUAAACAGAACCCGACCCGCACAUCGAGGGACGCGGUGAACAAUGCAGUGGAAUGCGCACGAUAACAUAUCCUGGCCCGGGCUCAGUGAAAAGACAUAUUGAGGUGUCCACGAGCAGAUUAAUGAGAAACCAUAUGCAUAUAAAUCUCUUUCUAGACUCGAUGUAGCAAUCCAAACGACAGAUCGGCUCGAAGGAAUCAGACGAUAGUCAUAAUGUAUAUAUACAUAUACCGUUUGGAUGGCACGAUAGGUUGUAUCAAAACAAAGCCUCUGGAAUCAUUUUACAUAUCAAAAUACAUUAUAAGACUCAUUAGAAUAGUUACAACACUUAUCAUUUGAUAAACAGAACAAUGAUCAAAAGUUUCCUUUGAAUGCCGUGCGAAAAUAAGUCCAAAAGAGUGAUACAAAAGGUCACGGAAAUCGUGGGCCCACCUCGGGUCAAAUCGAGGUGGCGUGCGGAAAUUUAUGAACAUUAGACUUGAUGGAGUUACCCAUAAAAGUUUUUGGGGGCAUUCCGGUUCCGUUUGUGAAAGUUUCAUAUGUUCAAGCUAUUUUUUUGUCAAUUAAACAUAGAGUACCUAAUUCAAUUAUAUUGAAUGAAUAAGAGUCAAAUCUACGCUCGGAUUUUUAGGAGUAGAGUCAUCCUCGAGGCUCGAAUCAUAACCUAUUAUACCUAAGACAUGCCAAAAGAAAGAAAGGCAAAGCUUUACAUACCUUUUCCGCUUCUUACGCUACUCCAAAUUCAAGUUCCAAACUUUCCAAAAUCUACAAUUGGUCACAUUUACCAAACAUUAAUUAGAGCCUUUAGAAGUUGAAUCUUAAAGUAACACUUUUCUACAGAAAUUUGGGCAGCAUCUCCCCUAUAAAUUCGACAUCCCCGAGAAUUUAACUCGGCCAAAACAUCAAUAACAACACCAACAACAAUACCAACAACAUCAACAAUCAAUUCAAAAUGCAUUUUAACAUAAGUGAUUCCUUUGCACAUAAUUCCUCAACCUUCAACUCAACUACGUACGUUCAAGUUGAUAUUCACACUUACAUAUUCAUUUAUUAAUUUAAGAUCAUCCAAACAUAAUUCAAGAACAUUUUGAACAACCUACACAAUAUUCAAACGACUUCACCCCAAAACUAUCUCCACCAAAAUUCCUCAAUUUCCAACAAAACAUUACCAACAUAUUUUUAUCUUCCAAAUUCGCGAAUUACCUCAACAAUCCAUACACUAGUAACAUUAUUUUCCAUCAAUGCAAGAAGGCUACAUUCAAUUCACAUUAACUUCUACAACAAUUUCCCAACAAUUACAACUUCAUUAAAAUCAUCAUAUUUUCAUUUGUAUCAUAGAAUACAUAUCAAUAACAACUAAAUUUGUUACAUAGAACUUGGUUCAUACUUCUCACACCAUAUACACACAUACACGGCCACCUCCAAACAUUCACAACUUCAACCAAAAUCAUCAAACUUCCAUUUCCAAUAUAGAGUCCACAACAACCAUAACUAGAAUGCUACAUAAAAAUUAACUAAUCUUGCCUACACAACACAUGCAUACACACGGCUAUACCAUGUAAACUUCCAUAUUUUCAUGAAUUCUAUCCAUUUCUACAUACUACAACAUAAACAAACCCUUCAUAACAUAUAAAAAGGGAUUAAAUCUUACCUUUUCUCCCUAACUUCUUCACUUGACCAAGGUGUGCUAACGACGAAACGAGUGACUUAUCGACCCAAACAACUAUACCACGUUGAAGAGGGCCCUUGAAUUAGUAGAAAUACUAGAAGAAAAUAAUUUUUGGAACAAGAUUUCAAUGGCCUUGUUCUUCCAUGCCUUGGCCGAAUGGCCUCCUUAUGUUUUUCUCCUUCUUCUUGUUUUCUUUCUUUGUUUUUCUUGAAUGUUCUAAUGGAUGACCAUAAUAAGCCCCUCUUUUUAUUCAUUUAUCACAUGAUUUAAUUCAUAUGGGCUUGGGCCAAUUUUGUCUUGACCAUGGCCGGCCACGCUAUGCUCUUUGGGCCUCUUUUCCUAUAUUUUUUUUAGCCCAAUUAUUUGUGGCUAAUUAUUUUGUAAUUCCUGAAGCUAAUUUCCAAAAUUCCCAAUUUUGCCCUUGGCCUUCCACCAUAUUUCCACAUCAACAUUUAUAUAUAUAUAUAUAUAUAUAUAUAUAUAUUAAAUAAAAUCAAAAUAUGGCCUUAUCUCUUACAAGUCGCAAUUAUUUCAGAUUUUUCCGAAUAUGCAAAAUUAUGGGAUAUAACAAAAGAUUUGUGUUUUCAAGAUUGUCCUUCCCGGUUAUGAGUUACAAGGUCGUAAUUCGUCCUUUACUACGUUCUUACAUACUUUCCAUGGCUUGUACCUUCCAAAACUUCAUGGGAUGUCUCCGAUACUCCAUUACUAUGGAGAAGUACGUGGCAUGCUCAUGCUCUGAAAGUGCGGGGUGUAACAUUGCUCUUCAUGAACAAUUGGUGCGCUCGAACCGUUUGAGUGUUAUGUUCAUUAAGACCAAAAUCUCCGCUGGUAUUCAUGGUUCUGUCGAACAGUAUAAUAAUGUCAAGGCAUUACUGAAGGCUAUUGAUGAACAAUUUGAGACUUCAGAUAAGGCACUUGCCAACACUCUGAUAAUGAAAUUCUCAUCAAUGAGGCUUACCAGUGUGAGAGGUGUGCGAGAGCACAUUAUGAAAAUGCGAGACUUAGCGGCUCAGCUAAAGACUCUUGAGGUUGAAAUGUCUAAGAAUUUCCUUGUGCACUAUAUUUUGAACUCUAUUCCUCUACAGUAUGGCCCCUUUAAGAUAUCCUAUAACAAACAUAAAGAUAAAUGGUCUAUUAAUGAACUUAUGGCCAUGAGUGUUCAAGAGGAGGGUUGAUUGCUGAUGGAAAUAGGAGAAACUGCAUUCAUUUCUACUCAUGGAAAGAAGACCUAUCAAGCCAAUAAGAAGUAGAAAGGAAAAGCCCCACUUGAACCUGAACCUGAUAUCAAGAAAGAAUCCAAGUGUCGCUUCUGUAGAAAGAAGGGGCACAUAAAGAAUAAUUGUAUCAAGUAUCAGAAAUGGCUUGACAAGAAAGGGAUUAAAAAACCUGCGGAAGCUAGUGGGAGCUGAGCGAAGCAUCUAUUCUGGACACAAGAUGCAGUCACGUGUGGAAGCUAUUGGGACAUGCACUUUAGUUCUUAGCAAUGGUUUCAUUUUAGAGUUAGAAAAGUCUUUUUAUGUACCUAAAUUUUUUGGGAAUUUAAUUAAAGUUUCAAGA